AAAAGCUCUUUGAAGAGAGAGUUAAAGAGGACGUGAAACCGAUAAGAAGGAAACGGAUAGAGUCAACGUAUCUGGCUUGUAUUCAGCUGCUGUUCGUUGCCAGGCGCCGCGCUCAAAUCGGAUCUCUGAUUGGGCGUAUUGGUGUUGUUACGGCGUCGACUCAGUAGUGCAUUUGCAAGUGGAGUGCGCUGAGACUUGUGGAGAUUAGCAGCGACUGGAACUUCGUCUUGAGGCUACACUUCACGGUGUAGUACCCAGACGUUGGAAAGGCCGUCUGCUCUGCAUGUGGCUAGAGUGCGGUUGGAGUUGAUGGGUGCUGUGUUGGCGGCUAGUAACGGUCGCAUGCGACACGUAUUAGUCUCUGUUCGACGCGGUGCUUAUCGAUUCUUCGUGCUUGUUCUCGGUGUAAAAGUUGGUCAUCUAUCCGACCCGUCUUGAAACACGGACCAAGGAGUUUAGCGUAUACGCGAGUCAUUGAGUGUGAAACUUAAAGGCGUAAUGAAAGUGAGAAUAUGCGAUCGUGUGCACUUCGGUGUGCGCUAGCAGCAUAGCCCCGUUCCGAUUGCUUGCAAUGGGGCGGAGGUAGAGCGUACUCGCUGAGACCCGAAAGAUGGUGAACUAUUCCUGAGCAGGACGAAGCCAGAGGAAACUCUGGUGGAAGUCCGAAGCGGUUCUGACGUGCAAAUCGAUCGUCUGACUUGGGUAUAGGGGCGAAAGACUAAUCGAACCAUC
rnacentral:rRNA from 1 species